AUACGGAGGGUGCAAGCGUUAUUCGGAAUCACUGGGCGUAAAGGACGCGUAGGCGGGUUGGCAAGUCAGAUGUGAAAUCCUACAGCUUAACUGUAGAACUGCAUUUGAAAUUGCUAACCUAGAGUAUGGGAGGGGGAGAUGGAAUUAGUGGUGUAGGGGUAAAAUCCGUAGAUAUCACUAGGAAUACCGAAAGCGAAGGCGAUUUCCUGGAACAUAACUGACGCUAAGGCGUGAAAGCGUGGGGAGCAAACAGGAUUAGAAACCCUAGUAGUCC
rnacentral:rRNA from 1 species